rnacentral:ncRNA from 2 species
AAUCAUCGAUCAUUGGAUGGUUCCCGAUAUGCCGGUGCAUGUCGGGAGUAAAUGGGAAUGUGACGGGAUGGACCCAAGCCGGGCAUCCUUAUCGCAGCCGACCCCGCGACUGUAGAACGGUCAGGGUUCGCCAUCCGGGAAAACCAGACUUCCGGACAGACCGCAUCGGGCGGGCGCGGGAGGAACGGUCCAACCGGAAAAGCCACUGGAGUGUCAUUGCGAUUAGCCGGGGCCGGACGCCUCUAUUAUCUACGAAUCGUCCACCUCUUCGCAAGAAAAUCGACUCCGGGAAGGCGAGGCGAACCCGUUCGUGCCUUGGGCACGUGACGCCGUGAGCCAGGAGACCUGCCAGCCUCAGGGCAUCGUG